rnacentral:lncRNA from 1 species
AAUUCCGUCAUAAUAGAGCCUCCCGAAAUUUAGUCGAAGAAUUCACAAUCAUAUGUGCCAAUCAGAUAUGCUUCCAUCAUUUCCUGCCGGGUAUUAUGUGUAUUUAUUACCAUCUGCAGAGAAAAGUAUGAAACUUACAGCUUUUACCACUGCCAAAAAUGCCAAUUCAAAACUUCCCAAACCGUAACACUCUGAGUUACACUGAUCUGCAGCCGAAUUCCCAAACAUCCGUGGGAUAAAUCAACAUAGAGGAAGCCCUAUACACGAAACAACU